GGGCGGCAGCGGCGGCGGGACGGGCCCGGCGGGCGGGCGGCGGCGGCGAGCGGGCGGCCGGCGGGCCCGGGCCCGGCUUCCCCGUCCCCGUCGGCGUCGCCGGGCCUCCCUGCCGCCUUGGUAGCGCCGGUCCGCACUCGGCCUGACCCGGGACGUCACGCCGCCUGUCUGUUUUCUCAAUGAUAACUUGGCAGGAGAAGGGGGAAGCGGCCGGGUUUUUCCUGGGCUCGUUACCGGGGUGACAUUCAGUGCCGGGCGAGCCUCGCCGGUCACCGCCAACUCCCACCUGGAAAGGAAAAAAAAAAAAAACAAAAACCAAACAAAACCCCCCAAACCGUAGCGAUAAGCGAGGGGAGGCGGGGGGGGGGUGUGUGUGCCCCCUUCCCCGGCAGCCGGGAUGCGGCGGGCGGCCGGGUCCUCCGGCGGCGGACGGGACACCUCGCCCAGGGGACGGCGGGCACACAGACACGCCGCCAGCCGCCAGCAGGCCGUUUGCCGAGCCACGGCGGGGCGGGGGGAAGGACACCACCAAAAAAAAAAAUAAAAAAAAAUUAAAAUUUAAAAAAAAAAUGCAUCCGGAUGCAAGACGGAGGCAGGCGAGGAGUAACGCUGCUGCCGUGCAGGCCCGGCGCCGCGUCCCAACCCCCCAACCCCCAAAUCUCCUCCAAGCCCUGCGGGGGGUGAUGGGGGGGCGGUAAUGGGGGGGGGGGGGAGCCCCUCACGCAGGGAUUCCCGUGGGAGCGGGGUGAAUUUGGGGCGCCCCCGGUGCCGGGCAGCGCGGGGCCGGGGGCGGCGCGGCGGUGGUUUGGGGACUCGCGAUCACAAUGGCGUCGCUGCUGAGGAGAGCCGGGGACGGGCGCAGAGCCUGGCAGGGCUGAACCGCGGGCGUUCGAACCCUCUUCUCUCCCUGCCCCGGCAGCCGGGGUUGCCGGGCGCCGGUUAGCGAAAGCAGGACGGUUUAGGUUACAAGAGAGAGGGAGCUUAGGCCCGCAGUCAGCGCCGAGGCCGGCGUGACCACGGUGCAGGCCACGAGCGGUGUUAAUGAGUAAUGGUAGGGGCUGGCAAGCCACCUGCAUCUUCCUUCCUUCAUUUUUGUACUUUUAAAAGGCAAAUCCUACCUGAAUGGCCCCGCUAAAUUCAAGGGACCCUCUUACACGUUAGACUUAACCUGCGUGCAAAAAAUAUUUCCAGAGGUAGGCCUCACUUAAGAAAGAAACUGUCCAUAGUGGCUCAGACUUAAUCGCUUCUGUAGCUAAAGAUCAGUCGUUUCAUGCGCGCUGUUCGUAUCCCGGGCUGCUGAGGUGCCACACCACCUGCCCAGUGACCACAGAGCGUCCCAGCAGCGCCCAAAGUCAAGCUUACCUCUUCCAUACUGCCUUUCCCACCACCUAUUUUAAUAACGAGUUACAGCAUUGCCGAUACACGUGUAACUAGCCGGGUGGAGUUCACAGGGGGACACAUGUAGCAGGGCUGAAACUCAAUUAUUAUUUUGCAACUGCCUCAGUUUAGCCUUAAUAUUAGCAUUAACACUUUCAUUUUCCUCAUUUAAAUGCAAUAAAAAAGGGAAAAUUGUCUUUGCUUAAUAUUGUUACUAAUCAGGUUUUGCUAUUGCAGUUUCUAUAAGGAGAUAAAGUCAGGGAGAAGUCGGCAUACACCUUUUCCGUUGCUGGACUCUGUGCUCUCGAACAGCACCUUAUUUCAAAUGGUGAGAUCGUCUGUUGCAACUGAAAAAAGAGUUGGGGAAAGAAAUCCUUCUCGGAAUAUAGUGCAGUCCAAGCAUCAUUUUAAGGAGAUUGAAAUUCAAAGCUUUGUUUUGUUUUGGGGGUUUUUUUUUUGUUUUUUUUUCAACCCAAGCUACUCAAGAUGCUUUCUGGCUUGACUAGAAAGACAAGUUUGUUUUAUGUUUUUGUUUUGGAAUUGGUUUGAAAUGCUUUUAGACUAAAUUCCUACCCGUCUUAAGUGUACUGCCUCAGCAGAGUACAGAGUACAUUACUGAUAAAUUUUUUUGGUAGACUUGAAAAGCACUGUGUACGGCUUGAUUGUUGUCUGUAUUUCGCCAUUCAUUUUUAAGUGAGGCCCUUCUGAUUGAUGUGGGGAAUUUGUUUAAACGGAUGAAGGGUAUGGCAUAGCUACCCAAGAUGCUACUUGCAAUUAUUCCAUACCUCAGCUAACAGGGAGAUUUUUAGUUGUGAUUGUUACGCUUUUAAAAGUGAAUUAGUUAAUCAAAUUGCUAUUUUUGGAAUGCACUUAAAGGAACAUUAAAAUGCAUUAAUUUCAUUAAAAUAAAUGAGCAGAUAGGCAACAAAACAAGUAUUAGUCAAAUAAGCAAGAUCUCACCUAUGGAGCCAAAUUCAGCCCUAGUGAAAUCAACUGAGUUGUGCUCGUCUACAGCAUAUUUAAUUUGGCCUCCGCCGUCACACAGCUGACACUUUAUUUGCUUGUCAAAGGCGUGUACAUUAAAAAUGUGUGAGCCAUGCUUCUCCAACGUGUUUAACCUCUGAAGUUAAAUUCACCUGUUUUCCAUUUAGCUCAGCUGCACAGCCCUAUCGCAUAUGCAAUUUUUGGUGUGCGUACACACCAGAAAUGCAGAGAGGCUUUCCCAACCCCAGUAUUAGUCUAAGGGACGUGAGUUGUAUCUGAAGUGAGGGUGUGAUGAGGUGGAUUUCAGCAGAGGCUGUUCACAACCAACUGCAUAUAUGCUCCAGUUAAUAGGCUGUACUGAAGUCAGUGUUACCAUCUUUCAUUACUGCUGUUAGUCAUGCCAGUGAGAGUAAAGGAGAGGUUGGUAUGUCUAUAAUCAUGCGUUCAUUUGCUAUGUAGAUAUGUCCUAAGAGCCUCUCAGCCCAGGAAAAUUAUGUUGGAAUAAGGUCGGAUGUGAAUGUAAAGCAGAACUGUGUUCAGAUAGCUUAUUCAUUCUGGAAUGACUGAGUUGUUUCCUGGUUUCACUUAGUCCACUUUCAAAGUGGAUUAAGAUAAUUCAUGAAAGUGAAUUCUUAUGCUGGCAUAAGGUUGGUCUAUACAUGGGUUUAGUCGAGCGUAAUUACUGCAGUGUACCCAGUAAGUGUUUUGGAAUAAUUUGGUGUGUAGGCAAGUCAAAAGUCCCACAGGAGAAAACAACAGAGUUUAGUUUUUCUAUAUAAUAUGAGGUUAAUUUAGCCCAAUGUAUGACCUGCUUCAUUCCUUGUGAAGCACAUUUAAUUCAUUUCAGGUUUUUCUCUCUCAACAGAAAACCCCACAACAGCUAUGUAUUUGUGAUCAAUUCCAGGAUAGCAAUGCCACGUGCAUUCCACUAAAAAUAAGCAAUUUAACUAGAGUACGCUCUGAGUAAGUUCUCAACUGCCUUAAAGCAGACAAUAGGUUCUUUACUGGAGAAAAUACCAGCUUCUCGAUCAUAAAUAUUCAGAGCGGGUUGUUAGAAAUAAAAGGAAAACCAAAACCAAAGCUCUGCUCUGUCCUCUUAAGCAUCCAUGGCCCACUUGUACUUUUCACUGCCUACUAUUCAAAGCAGUAGCACCCCUUCUAAUUCAACAAUAUUAGUUCCUGAAUGGGGAACCUCAUAGAAGGGUUUACAGAACAACAGGGCCUUCAGAAGGCACCUUAAGAAUAGAGAGAUUAUUUAUAGUUUGCUUACAGAGAUCUGAAUCAGGAAGAGCCUACCUGAAACUCAGGCAGCUACUCCGCUCUGAAUCGGGUGCAUUGUAUCACUAUGGGCAUACAGGAAAGUUACCAACAGGAUAAUGAGAACAUACAUACAGAUUUUUUUGCAACUUUGUGCCAAGCAGAAACUUUGUCAAAUGUCGUUUGGUCUCAUUCUGUGCCACAGAUCUCUCUGGGAAGAGAGGUGACUCUAUGACAUAAAUUAAGACUGCUAAACUUUAAACUCAAGGUUGGUUGUUGUCGUGUUUGUUUAGGGAAAAAAAAAUAAGAAAAAAAUAGACAAGAAAGAAAUUAUGUAAGCUCAGCUAGUAAAACAGCCAAUUUUUUGAAAGAAGCAUAAAUAUAAAAACUAGAUGGUACAAAUUGCUGACCCUUUAAACACUGACAUGGGAAAAGCCAAUAAAAGCUAUGAAGGUAAAAAAACCCAACUCCUACUUUAUGUGAAAGGCUGUAAUGUGGGAAGGCAGAGGGUACCCAGGGGUCUUCCCUUACGCAGAUGAAGUAGUCCCACUGCUCCGUGUAACAGGCCACAAAUGACGCCAUACGUAAGAUUCUUCCUAAGCUUGAUUUGUGAUUACGAGCAUGGCUUUGCUCUGCUGUACUGGUCUUGAUUGCAGGUAUAGGGAAUAGAUUUCAUGUACGAUUCCCUAACACCGAACCUGCCUAUUUAAGAAGCUUUCUGGUAAGAAAGUAAGCAUUGAAUAAAGAAGGUAAAACGUGGAUAAGCAAAAAACAAGAAAUCAAGUUCUUCUUUAAUUCUGUUGUGAUGGGUAACCUUGACCAUGGGCCUACUCUUGAUACUAAGGCUCAAAGUGGACUAAGACUGAAGGCAAGGAGAGUUUUGGACCAUAUAGGAGCAUGCUCAAUCUGAAAUCCCACUUGUAUAAACAAUUGGAUUAGGUUAUUCUACACUCUGCUUCCACUGAGAGGUCUCUGAGUGUUGGAGCCACCAGCAGUGGUAGGGUAUCCCGGCUAUCCCUGGCUCCUGUCAUUAUAGGGGAAUUACUCAUCCAGUGGGGAAGGCGUCCUUAAUCUCUGAGACGAUGGCACAACACACGCAAGAAGAAAUCUCAGCGCACAGCCAAUGCAAUGGAAUGAAGGAUCCUCUAUGAGAAUUGGUUAGUAGCACCAGUGUUUAAUAUUUGUCAUAACAACCACCGACUGUUUUGUUUUUUGUUCUAACAAUGUGAAUUAUGCAUUAAACAUUAAUACAAGUGAGUGUA